rnacentral:rRNA from 1 species
AUUGAACGCUGGCGGCAGGCCUAACACAUGCAAGUCGAGCGGAUGAAGGGAGCUUGCUCCUGGAUUCAGCGGCGGACGGGUGAGUAAUGCCUAGGAAUCUGCCUGGUAGUGUGGGAUAACGUCCGGAAACGGGCGCUAAUACCGCAUACGUCCUGAGGGAGAAAGUGGGGGAUCUUCGGACCCCACGCUAUCAGAUGAGCCUAGGUCGGAUUAGCUAGUUGGUGGGGUAAAGGCCUACCAAGGCGACGAUCCGUAACUGGUCUGAGAGGAUGAUCAGUCACACUGGAACUGAGACACGGUCCAGACUCCUACGGGAGGCAGCAGUGGGGAAUAUUGGACAAUGGGCGAAAGCCUGAUCCAGCCAUGCCGCGUGUGUGAAGAAGGUCUUCGGAUUGUAAAGCACUUUAAGUUGGGAGGAAGGGCAGUAAGUUAAUACCUUGCUGUUUUGACGGUACCAACAGAAUAAGCACCGGCUAACUUCGUG